CCCCCAGACAGAGCUAACGCCACAAUAGAUAGUGAGUGCCGGAGAUAAGCGCCGGGAGGGUAAAUAAAC
rnacentral:sRNA from 1 species